UGGGGAAUAUUGCACAAUGGGCGCAAGCCUGAUGCAGCCAUGCCGCGUGUAUGAAGAAGGCCUUCGGGUUGUAAAGUACUUUCAGCGGGGAGGAAGGGAGUAAAGUUAAUACCUUUGCUCAUUGACGUUACCCGCAGAAGAAGCACCGGCUAACUCCGUGCCAGCAGCCGCGGUAAUACGGAGGGUGCAAGCGUUAAUCGGAAUUACUGGGCGUAAAGCGCACGCAGGCGGUUUGUUAAGUCAGAUGUGAAAUCCCCGGGCUCAACCUGGGAACUGCAUCUGAUACUGGCAAGCUUGAGUCUCGUAGAGGGGGGUAGAAUUCCAGGUGUAGCGGUGAAAUGCGUAGAGAUGUGGAGAAAUACCGGUGGCGAAGGCGGCCCCCUGGACAAAGACUGACGCUCAGGUGCGAAAGCGUGGGGAGCAAACAGG
rnacentral:rRNA from 1 species